rnacentral:rRNA from 1 species
AUGGCCUCACAGCCGGUGCAAUCUGCUAAGGAGGAGCGUCUAGAAAGAGAAAACAAAUAUUUGAAGCAGGAGAUCAAGCGUCUUCGAGGCAUUGAGCUUGUUGUUCAGUCUUUGGCUGAGAAAGGGGGAGUCGACUUUGAUGGCAUAAUGCAAUCAGCAACAGAUGACUUGUCUCCAUCAUAUUCUGAAGGCGGAUUUCAAAGGGGACGAGGUGAUGUGCCUCAACACCAAACCGAAAAGGGAAUGGGAAGCAGGACUGGAGGCAGUACGAGUCAUGGAAAUGAUGAUGAGGACGACGACUAUGGCAAUGGGGGAUAUGGUAACUAUGGCGAGGGUGAUCUGUAUGGUGAUGAGCACUAUGAUCACUAUGGUGAUGGGGAAUAUGAUGACUAUGGAGAUGAGGAUGACUAUGGCUAUGGCUAUGGCGGUGGCGAUGGCGAUGAUGAUGAUUGGCUAUAA